rnacentral:rRNA from 1 species
UGGGGAAUAUUGGACAAUGGGCGCAAGCCUGAUCCAGCCAUGCCGCGUGGAUGAUGAAGGCCCUAGGGUUGUAAAGUCCUUUCGGCGGGGAAGAUAAUGACGGUACCCGCAGAAGAAGCCCCGGCUAACUUCGUGCCAGCAGCCGCGGUAAUACGAAGGGGGCUAGCGUUGCUCGGAAUCACUGGGCGUAAAGCGCACGUAGGCGGCUUUCUAAGUCGGUGGUGAAAUCCUGGAGCUCAACUCCAGAACUGCCUCCGAUACUGGAGAGGUCGAGUCCGGGAGAGGUGAGUGGAACUGCGAGUGUAGAGGUGAAAUUCGUAGAUAUUCGCAAGAACACCAGUGGCGAAGGCGGCUCACUGGCCCGGUACUGACGCUGAGGUGCGAAAGCGUGGGGAGCAAACA